CCCCGCCGGCCCCGGGGCAGCUCCGGAGCGCCCGGCGCAGAGCAGGGAGCUGAUCGCGGGGGGAAAACAAGGAGCUGAGCGCGGCCUCUGCUCUGGCGGGUGAGGGCUCAGCUGGGGAGGCCAGGAUGGCUCCAUGGCCUCGGUGAGCUUCCCCGCUCCCUCCCCAGGGGCUCAUUAACAGGAUGAACUUGCAGCAGUGAAAUCGGCUGAAUUCCAAGGCAGCCUAAAAUCCACCAGAAGCACAUGAGAAGAAAACAGUGUCAUCAUGACUGUGAAGCUCUUGGAAGUUCAUUGCUCUGUCCUCUUUGUAGUUCACUCUCCAGCUGGAAAUCUCCAUAUCUGGGAUGGAAACGUGGAGAAACCUGACUCUGCAGGACCAGCAGCAGUGGGAUCACUGCAGGAGGGAAAAGAAAAAGAGGGUACCUAAGGGCUGUACUGGCACUGGUUGCACCUGAGCUGGGUGAGACGUCAGGGUCCUCUCCACAACUACCAGGAAAGAGCUGCACAUGCAGAGAGUUCCCUUCACAAGAUGGAACUGGCACAUCACCGUGCCAAGCUGAGAUCUAGGCUGGAUUUUGGCUCUUGCUGCAUGGCCCCAUCUCCCUCCCUGAAUCCAGCAAUUUUCAAAUCUGGGCUUUUGCUCAGGUCUCAUCGCUCACCAAGGGGGGCGGAUUGCAGGAGUUAAACUCCUUGUUGCAAAGCAGAGAUUCCAUUUCCCUCUAGUCUUAAGCAGCUUCAAUCCAUCUUUCUGCAUUACAGAGCCCUUGCUGAUUGUUCUGCUGUAGUGAGUAAUAACAACUUGUACUUUGCAGAUUCCCCCAGGGACCCACGUUCCUGGCUCUGCCGCACCACUGGCUCCACAGGGCAGGCACACAGCUGCCCAAGCACCCCCAGAGAGGGAUGGAGCUGCAGGAACAACGCACAAAGAAUUUGGGUGGGAAGGCGUCAAGAGUGAAGGGCACCGGAGUGUGGCUGACGGCUGUGGGGAAAUUGGAGUGCCCAGUCCUGUGAGGUGUGAACAUCACAGGAUGGGGGACACAGAGAGAAUAGGGGGGAUAUUAGGAGUGUUUUCCGUCCCAAAAGCUGCACAGACAGGUUAACUCCAAGGGGAUCCGUUACCAGAGUUACCAGUUCAUUUUUACCACAACACCUGGAUUGAUGAAGUAAGUAUCAAUCUCUACACAUUUUUUUACAUGCAGAUAGUUAAAAAGAGAAAAAAACCUGAUGAACAGAGAUGGCUUUGCUUUAUGUCCAAGCUUUGCAAGGCAUUUUGCCAAAACUAGAAGAUAUUAUUUCCAGCACCAAUAUUUAAUAAAGAUGUUUUCUUCUAUUUCAAGGCCAACAGCUGGAACUGGAAUCCAUUUCCAGAUAUGGGCACUAACUUGCAAUGGCCCAGAUUUGCUCCGCUGCCUUUUUUAAUUGUGGGCAUUAGCAGAUUAUGGGUACUUUUGUAGCAGGUCCAUAAAACACUGCUUUGUAAUCUCCUGUACGCAUUAGGGUCCAGAUUAUCAUGCUUGUAGUUGAUAAUAACAGAGAAGAGAUUGCCUGGACCCCUGGGAAAUCCAGGAGAGGCACCUGGUAGAGCCAGGAGCACACAGUACCGGGAUACAUGCAGGGGAUGGUGCACCCACAAACCUGCUGCCCACCCCUCACCUGUGGUGGCAAACACUGAGGCACAAACAGCUCCAUUUCUCUUCUUCCCAGCUCACAUUUUGGGUGGGGGCUCUGACUGUUACAGCUCCCUAUUCUGUAAAGACAUGGGUUAUCCUUCUCUUUCAUCCUAGAUGAAAGGAGGUGGUUACAUGCACCAGUUUCUAAAUCAGCUCGUAGCAAAAAAAAAAAAUCAUUAAGAAGGUGCAGGUCUGCCUUCCAGCCCGCUUGCUGCCGAGCUGGGGACUUGCUCAGUCAGCAGCAGGGAGGAAACGUGUCCCACAUAUCUUCUAAGAGCAACUGGGAGCACUGGAAGCACAAAGUUUUCAGUGGAAGGUCACUAGAUGGCCCCAGAUCUUCCUCUGCAGCAAUCCCCAGUAUUCCAGCUCUGGGGAGCCUCGACCACUCAUCCUACAGCCUGACCCCAAAGGAGCAGCAAGUCCCGGUAAGAGGGGCACCGAGUGAGAACCAGGGAUACUUGCCAAGAUAUCCUGAGCAAAGCACUUACCCCCAGAUGGCUUUUUCUGCUCCUGGCCUUUGGCUGCCGAGAGUGGGAGAGCCUGGUGUGUGUCUGGGCAAUGCCAGGGCCUGUGAGGCACUGACCUCAUACAGAUAAAGGACCAGAAGUCUGAUUACAUACAAACUCACAUCAUCCCACUGCCAGGCUGCUGCAAAACCCUCAGAGGGGAAAAAGCCAUCUACACUUAUUCCUCAAGUUAAAUCACUGCUGGAUCUCGGGCCUGCAGUGCUGUUUUGUUGGAGCUGUAAUGAUGUCCACACAGGUCAGGCUCCUCUGCAUCUCUGUUUCAGUUUCAGCUGUUUGGGCAGGACCAGAACUGGAUUCCGUGAGCAGUUACAUGGGUCUAAAUCACCACUAAAUUCCUCUGGAUUGAGCAGAUGCUUCUGUGGAGAACAAGCCAAAGGAAGAGCUGGUUUUGUACCCCAGCUCCUGCACGAAGUGAUGGCCCCAAAGAAGAGGCACAAAGGAGCAUUCAGGGAUUCCAGAGGAGGCUGAAGGCUCUGAUUUCCCAUCUUGCACUGCCUGUGGCUAGGAGAUGGGUGCCCUGCUGUCCAUCCAGACUCCAGCUUUUCCUCUUUCCUCACUGCCUGGAGCCUUCUCUGUGCCCCAUUCCCCUCUUCCUUGCCCUCCAAUCUCUUGGAGAGGAUUUGUCCUUUUGCCCACGUCAAUCUGGGUUCCUGAGAUCCAGGCUGGAGACUGCACACACUGGAUUUCUCCUUCCAUCUGAGGGGUUUCAUAAGCAAUCCAGGAUGGCUGCUCCCUGCUGCCUUGCCAGGUGUAGGAUAUAAGAGGUGGUGCUGGAGCAGCCAGGGGAUAACAGGUUCCUUGAUCCCACAUCUGUCACAGCUCACACAGACACACAGCUCCUUGUCCAGCCCCACAGACAGACCUGCCCCUCGCAUAGGUCACUGGCAGUACAGAAAGCUUUGAUCUGAGGCAGAAAUAGAGCACUGAGUGCAAGUAAAGAGGCAAAGAUUUUCGAGAACACUAUAGAAGGGUAGAUGCCAUCACAAGAAGCACAAGAACAACGCAGAAAUGCACCUUCAAAAAGAUCUCCCAGUGUACCCCCACAGUCUUCCUUAUCUCCCAUUCUACUGGAAAUCCUUUGCCUUCUCCCCACACCACAAACCUUUUCCUUGGUUUGUUUCCCAGUACAUCAAAAUGUCUCCCUGCAAGUGUAAAACUCUUUAGAUGAGGGGAAAAUAAAAUCGAUUUGAAAUCACA